CCUACGGGCGGCAGCAGUGGGGAAUAUUGCACAAUGGGGGAAACCCUGAUGCAGCAACGCCGCGUGAGUGAGGAAGUAUUUCGGUAUGUAAAGCUCUAUCAGCAGGGAAUAGAAAAGAAGGUACCUGAGUAAGAAGCACCGGCUAAAUACGUGCCAGCAGCCGCGGUAAUACGUAUGGUGCAAGCUUUAUCCGGAUUUACUGGGUGUAAAGGGAGCGCAGGCGGCACGGCAAGCCUGAUGUGAAAGCCCGCGGCCCAACCGCGGGACUGCAUUGGGAACUACCGGGCGGGAGUGCCGGAGAGGUAGGCGGAAUGCCUAGUGUAGCGGUGAAAUGCGUAGAUAUUAGGAGGAACACCAGUGGCGAAGGCGGCCUACUGGACGGUGACUGACGCUGAGGCUCGAAAGCGUGGGGAGCAAACAGGAUUAGAUACCCGGGUAGUC
rnacentral:rRNA from 1 species